CGAACAGGUCGACUUCCGAGUUUGGCGGGGCCUUUGUCUCUCACUGCACCUGGAGCUCCAGGUCUCAUCUUCACUACUCUGUGUCCUCUGCUGCUAGAGGCCCAGCCCUGUGACCUGACGGUUUUGGGAGAUCGACAGCUAAGACGCCAGGAUCUCCUGGAAGCCUAGAAAUGUGACUGUGCCCUGGCCUGGAGCCCUCUCCGGGCAGCUCUGCACCCACAACGCCACGUGUCUCCCAGAUCGUGCAGGGACCACGGGAGGGUCCUCAGGGGAGAAUCCUGACUCAGGAUGCAAGUUCAUGAAUCGGAAGAGCUUUGGUGCGUGGUCUUCACAGUUUCCCUUUUCUCCUAUUAAAAAUGUAUGGGCCCUUGCGCGGUGGCUCACGCCUGGAGUCCUAGCACUUUGGGAGGCCGAGGCGGGCGGAUCACUUGAGGUCAGGAGUUGAAGACGAGCCUGGUCAAAAUGAGGAAACCCCAUCUCUACUAAAAAUACAAAAAUUAGCUGGGUGUGAUGGCAAAUGUCUGUAGUCCCAGCUACUUGGAAGGCAGAGGUGACAGAAUCGCUUGAACCCAAGAGGCGGAGGUUGUAGGAGCUGAUAUCUUACCACUGCACUCCAGCCUGGGCGACAGAGCAAAACUCUGUCUAAAAAAAAAAAUUAUGAGAGUCACCGCAAAAAUAUCAAAUAAUUUAAUUAAAGAGUGAUUCCAGAAUUGUUGAGCACCCAGCUAUAGUUUGUACUUUAUGGUCCAUGGUAGGGGCUUGAAGGAAAGACAUUUAUAAGGUGCAUGAUGAAGAAAACCAUAUUCAAUAGUUGGUUAGGUAUAGUUACGUAGUUUCUUAUUUUGUACAAUCGAGGUGGAAAUGUCCUAGUUAUGAUUCAGAGCUUAAUUGGCAGUUUAUAGUUGUUUAAGCUUGAAUUUUAUUUCCCUUAAUGUAGUAAUUUAACAAAAAGUGCAAUUAAUUAUUUUCACACCUCACAGGGGACUGAGUUUUCCCUGGCAUUUUUCACAUGUGUCCCAAGCAGGGCCUCAAGUGUACCCCAUGUUCCUCAAUUAAUCAUUCUUUAAAAAGCAUAGCAUAACACUAUUGAAAAUAUUUGUUUUCUGUUUGUAAAUAUUUCCCAGGAGAAGAAAGCAAAGAAUAAUCCCCUGACACUGUAUUGUAAAAAAUAUUUGUGUCUUUUUCUUUUUUCUUUUUUUUGUUUUGCUUUUUGAGACAGAGUUUUCGCUCUGUUGCCAGACUGGAGUGAGGUCCUGCAGUUGUGCAGCCGCGCGAUCUGGGCUCACUGCAACCUCCAUCUCCCGGGUUCAAGCAAUUAUCCUGCCUCAGCCUCCUGAGUAGCUGGAACUACAGUUACGUGCCACCAUGCCCACCUAGAGAGGUUUCACCAUGUUGGCCAGGAUGGUCUCAAUCUCUUGACCUCGUGAUCCGCCCGCCUCCGCGUUCCAAAGUGCUGGGAUUACAGGUGUGAGCCACCGCGUCUGGCGCCUCUUUUUCUUUUAUUUUUCCAGAGAACUUACCGGAAUGUUUUUGGGUCAAGAUUACCCUUUGGAAACUUUGUAGGAUGAUGUGUCCUCAGCCAACCUUCAGUUUUUUUCUGGUCCUGGGUUUUAGUACUUUCUGGGAAUAAACCAACAUACCCACCAUGGCUAUGUCUGCUGGAGUGUCUAGUGACUAUUAGCUCUUGGGUCAUUUUCUCCCAUAGGACUACCUGAAGCAUGGAGUGUAGACUUUCGAGGGAGCAGGUGGCAGCCUUGGGGCUGAAAGGCAUCUUCUGGUGCACUUUUUUUUUUUUUGAAAAGCUAACCCCUUGAGACAUGAAGAUUGUCUUCACUCAACCUGGCUUUCAUUUCUAGGAGACACAUUGCUGAUCAGUCAAUCAGAUGCUGGUAUUGAGGGGAAAACAAAUAAUUUCUGUCUUCUGGAUUAUCUUGUGGGAGGGGCAGAAAAAUAGUGAAAAAACACUCCAAAAGACAAAAAACUGACCCCAGUGAGAUGGCAUAAAUAACUUACAAAGUAAAAUGCACCUGGGGCACUCACUGGGGCAUAGCGCAGUGUCUCCUGGGAGGGUGGUUAUUGCGCAUGUAAGUGAACAGGAUGGGGUGGGUGAUUGGAUCUGUACCUUGAAAAGAUUUGUUUACUUAUUUUGACCUCAAUUUUUUUUUAGACAGUCUCCCUCUGUUGCACAGGCUGGAAUGCAGUGGCUUGAUCUCAGCUCACUGCAACCUCUACCUCCUGGGUUCAAGUGAUUCUCCUGCCUCAGCCUCCCGUGCAGCUGGGAUUACAAGCAUGCAACACCAAGCCUGGGUAGGUUUUUGUAUUUUUAGUAGAGAUGGGAUCUCACCAUGUUGGCCAGCUUGAUCUUGACCUCAGGUGAUCCACCUGCCUCACUCUUCCAAAGUACUGGGAUUACUUACAGGCAUGAGCCAUAAACACUGUAUUCUACAAUCCUAUGAAUAUUAAGCCACAAUACUUACUUUGAAUUAAUCGCUUAAAUGGUUAUUUUAUUUAUACUUUUGAAAUAUAAAGUGUUUUAACUGAAGUAUAGUUGCAAUUUUUUUUCUUUUUUUUUUCUUUUUUUUGAGACGGAGUCUUGCUUUUUCAGCCAGGCUGGAGUGCAGUGGCUUGAUCUUGGCUCACUGCAACCUCUGCCUCCUGGCUUCAAGCGAUUCUUCUGUUUCAGCCUCCCGGGUAGCUGGGAUGAGAGGCGCGCUGCACCACGCCAAGGUAAUUUUUUUUGUAUUUUUAGUAGAGACGGGGUUUCACCAUAUUUGCCAGGCUGGUGUUGAACUCCUGACCUGGUGAUCCACAUGCUUCGGCCUAACAGAGUGCUGGGACUACAGGUGUGAGACACUGCACCUAACUGUAGUGGCAAUUUUUUUUUUUUUGAAACAGUUUCGCUCUUGUUGCCCAGGCCGGAGUGCAAUGGCGCGAUCUCGGCUCACUGCAACCUCCGCCUCCUAGGUUCAAGGGAUUCUCCUGCCUCAACCUCCUGAGUAGCUGGGAUUGCAGGCAUGUGCCACACCUGGCCUAGCUAAUUUUGUAUUUUUAGUAGAGACAGGGUUUCUCCAUGUCGGUCAUGCUGGUCUCAAACUCACGACCUCCAGUGAUCCGCCUGCCUCAGACUCCCAAAGUGCUGGGAUUACGGGCAUGAGCCACCAUGCCCGGCUAUGUAGUUGCAAUUUUUAAAUUGAAUACAUUAUGACCGGUUCAUUAAAAUUAUUCAUACUUAGAUCUUUAUAUCUAAUAUCCAAAGAAAAUUUACUACCAAAUUUUUACAGUAGAUAUUAGUGAAAUGUUUAUUGCUUUAUUCAAUAGGGAAAACUGUGAGUAAACACAAUUUGUGUAUCUUUUAUUUUACUAAAUUGGAGUGCUGUUAUUACAGGAGACAGGUGAUGUGGCCACCCAAAAACCAUAAUAGCUCUGCAGUUAACGAUGUUGCCAGUUCUAAUAUGUUCCACUAUAUGAACACAGUUUCUAUUUCUUCAUCAAAAAGUGUUGUUGAAAGUUGUCAGAUAUAUUUCAAUAUAGAACCCCAAUUUAAUGGCUAGGAGAUGACAGACCAGCAAAGAUGGGAAAAAAGCUAUAAAAUUCUUCUGAAAAACUGCACUUUUUUUUCAUAAGGCUCAUGUUUCUCAUGCUGAGAGUAGCUGUGCACUUUGAGUGUUUAGAGAGAAAUUGCUUUUAGGGGAAUAUUUUCUGGCUGAUCAAUCUUAUAUCUAAUAUGAGCUUUUUCUUAAGAUCUUUUGAACCUUUUUCUCUCAAAAUAAUCUGGCUCAGAUGGAGAUCUGUUUUUCUCUCCAAUGCUUUGGGUGUCUGUGUCAAAAGCCCUAUUCAUAUCCGAUGGUGUCUACAUGAGGUGGACUUUCAUAGCGAGAACUUUUAGAGCUAUUUCUAUCUGGACUUAUGCUGGAAAUUCAGCAGUAUUUUUUCCAUGUCCCUACUAUACGUAGAAACUGAGGCUGAAACACUAAUCACAUUCUCAUGAUUGUGAAGGUGUAAUUCUACCCAGGAGGCCUGCAGGCUCUCCUCCUGCAGCUCAUGCCUCACUCUCUGAUGUGACACUAGAGUGCUGCUGUGGCAAAUGGGGUUCACAUAAAAUGUGAGCUGUGCUCCAGGCUGUGCCUCAGUGGCAGAUGUUAUAGGUCAAGAGAGGACACUAGGCUGGGUGUGGUGGCUCCGCUUGUAAUUCCAGCACUUUGGGAGGCCAAGACGGGCGGAUCACGAGGUCAGGAGAUCGAGACCAUCCUGGCUAAUAUGGUGAAACCCCGUCUGUACUAAAAAUACAAAAAAUUAGCCAGGCCAGGCAUGGUGGCAGGCGCCUGUAGUCCCAGCUACUCAGGAGGCUGAGGCAGGAGAAUGGCAUGAACCCAGGAGGCGGAGCUUGCAGUGAGCUGAGAUUGCGCCACUGCACUCCAGCCUGGGCGACAGAGCGAGACUCCGUCUCAAAAAAAAAAAAAAGAGAGGCCACUAGCAACCAGGAGAAAGCAAGCAGGAGUGCUGUAACCCAAUGCCAGGGAGUACAGAGCCACUGCUCUAAAAUGUAAAUAGCCAAAAAGAGAACCCUAUUCAACCAUUUUUGUAGCACAAUGAAAGCCUACCUUCAGAAGGCACCUGGAUUAAAGCUACUAAACUACUUCCUGUUAUGAAGAUGUGAAAAGUUUGUCAUUGAAUAUAAGCAAUUAGCAUACACAGAUGGCCUCUUCAAUCUGUUCAUAGGAUGAACUAUGUAUGACAUGGUGCUGGAAAUUCUUCUACUUGUGAACUAAUUAUGGUGACCAUCUUUCUGUCUUUGCGAUCCCUUAAGCAGACUGAUGAUGAUGCAUGUCACAAUUAAGUUCAAUUGUGUAAUAAAACCAUUUUCUUUC